rnacentral:rRNA from 1 species
GAUGAACGCUGGCGGCGUGCCUAAUACAUGCAAGUCGAGCGAAUGGAUUAAGAGCUUGCUCUUAUGAAGUUAGCGGCGGACGGGUGAGUAACACGUGGGUAACCUGCCCAUAAGACUGGGAUAACUCCGGGAAACCGGGGCUAAUACCGGAUAACAUUUUGAACCGCAUGGUUCGAAAUUGAAAGGCGGCUUCGGCUGUCACUUAUGGAUGGACCCGCGUCGCAUUAGCUAGUUGGUGAGGUAACGGCUCACCAAGGCAACGAUGCGUAGCCGACCUGAGAGGGUGAUCGGCCACACUGGGACUGAGACACGGCCCAGACUCCUGCGGGAGGCAGCAGUAGGGAAUCUCCCGCAAUGGACGAAAGUCUGACGGAGCAACGCCGCGUGAGUGAUGAAGGCUUUCGGGUCGUAAAACUCUGUUGUCAGGGAAGAACAAGUGCUAGUUGAAUAAGCUGGCACCUUGACGGUACCUAACCAGAAAGCCACGGCUAACUACGUGCCAGCCGCCGCGGUAA